rnacentral:misc_RNA from 1 species
GCUUACUCAUCCUCUCUUUACUAAUAUUUGGAAGAAGUCUGAGCUUCAAGUUUUGACUCCGUACAUAAACAUAUCAUUCAGGCCAUCACCUAAUAGAGACAGACCUAGACAAGCCCUGCAGGGCGUUGAUAUCAUUCUGGAAGAUUUCUUCAGCCUUGGAUUUGUCAAAAUUCCCGGAUUCUAUGGCCUCUGUUAUGUGCUGGAGACCCUUUAGGCUUCUAGUCUCAGUUGGUCCAAGGAAACCACGCCUAGCAGUCUUCGGUCCAUCCUGUAGAAAAUUAGCGAAAUUUCCGUCUUUUCCUUCAACAAAUUUGCAGAGGUACAUCACACCAGCGCAUGCAAAAUCCUGCUUGGUCUCUAUAGCAUUCACCUUCCCAUCGAGACCCCAAACGAGCUGCUGGAGAGAGUUCAGGUUAUAACCAAUAUCAGUGAGUUUAUCACGAGCAUCAAUAACCUCAUUUUUUAUUUCGGAUGAUAUUGCUUUCUGCUCGUCCAUUUUCCCAUCCAAAUUCUCAAUCCGCUGUGUCAAAUGUUUCUUCGUCGCAGCAAGGGCAGCAGACACUUGGUCGAGAUGCUUUGUCAUGCUUGAAACAGCAUUGGACAUAUUUUGCUUGGUCACAUACAUAAGGUCGGAGAAUGAGAGGCCUUUCCACCACAUAUAUCCAUAACCUAAUGCCCCCACGGUUGCAGCUGGCACCAAAAGUGAUGAGAAAUUACCUGAUUGCCCUCCACUUCCAUUGAGAACAGUUAUUGGACGUGCCGAGGCAAGCUGUCGGACUUCCAUGGCCAGUCGGCGCACCUGCGUCGCGAGAGCAUCAGCGUGUUCCCCAUCCGUUCCCUGCUCCCCGGACUUCUCCUUCAGCAAAGCCUGUAGUUCGGCCAGGAUAUCGGACAGCUUGCCGUUGCGCAACAUGAUUGACCCCGUGAAACCGGCGCCGAGGAGGAAGACGACCUUGCUGAGGCCCAUACCGGCGUGCAUCGCCAUGAUCGGAGCUGUGAGGGGAGCGG